rnacentral:rRNA from 1 species
AGUGAACGCUGGCGGUAGGCCUAACACAUGCAAGUCGAACGGCAGCACAGGAGAGCUUGCUCUCUGGGUGGCGAGUGGCGGACGGGUGAGGAAUACAUCGGAAUCUACUCUGUCGUGGGGGAUAACGUAGGGAAACUUACGCUAAUACCGCAUACGACCUACGGGUGAAAGCAGGGGACCUCCGGGCCUUGCGCGAUUGAAUGAGCCGAUGUCGGAUUAGCUAGUUGGCGGGGUAAAGGCCCAACAAGGCGCCGAUCCGUAGCUGGUCUGAGAGGAUGAUCAGCCACACUGGAACUGAGACACGGUCCAGACUCCUACGGGAGGCAGCAGUGGGGAAUAUUGGACAAUGGGCGCAAGCCUGAUCCAGCCAUACCGCGUGGGUGAAGAAGGCCUUCGGGUUGUAAAGCCCUUUUGUUGGUAAAGAAAUCCAGCUGGCUAAUACCCGGUUGGGAUGACGGUACCCAAAGAAUAAGCACCGGCUAACUUCGUGCCAGCAGCCGCAGUAA